rnacentral:rRNA from 1 species
AGUGCGUAAUAGCUCACUGGUCGAGUGACUCUGCGCCGAAAAUGUACCGGGGCUAAACGUAUCACCGAAGCUGCGGACUGUUCUUCGAACAGUGGUAGGAGAGCGUUCUAAGGGCUGUGAAGCCAGACCGGAAGGACUGGUGGAGCGCUUAGAAGUGAGAAUGCCGGUAUGAGUAGCGAAAGAGGGGUGAGAAUCCCCUCCACCGAAUGCCUAAGGUUUCCUGAGGAAGGCUCGUCCGCUCAGGGUUAGUCGGGACCUAAGCCGAGGCCGAAAGGCGUAGGCGAUGGACAACAGGUUGAUAUUCCUGUACCACCUCCUCACCAUUUGAGCAAUGGGGGGACGCAGGAGGAUAGGGUAAGCGCGGUAUUGGAUAUCCGCGUCCAAGCAGUUAGGCUGUCUC